AUAAGAAAUAAGGCAUAUAAUUGUUUUCGUCUAUGGGUAUUAUGUUUUAAAAUUGUACCCCAAUCAAAAUCAAACCAUAACGAUUUAUUUAGCAGGAUUUCAAACUCGUCGAUACUUUGGAACAGUGCUACGCAUGAUGAGGCUGAAAUCGUUAUGUAAGAUAACACACUGAAACACUAAACUUGGUGACUGCAGCGAGAAGGCCUUGAGAAACAUUUCAUA